GACCGCGUAGCUCAGUUGGAAGAGCAUUGGGCUAGUAUUCCAAAGGUCCUAGGUUCGAAUCCCGCCGUGGCCA
rnacentral:tRNA from 1 species